GGUUCUAUAGUGUAGUGGUUAUCACUCCGGAUUUUGAUUCGUCUUCAAGCUUUCCGGCGACCCCGGUUCGAACCCGGGUAGGACCU
rfam:Exophiala dermatitidis NIH/TT8656 unplaced genomic scaffold supercont1.1, whole genome shotgun sequence.